rnacentral:rRNA from 1 species
GAUGAACGCUGGCGGCGUGCCUAAUACAUGCAAGUCGAGCGAACAGACGAGGAGCUUGCUCCUCUGACGUUAGCGGCGGACGGGUGAGUAACACGUGGAUAACCUACCUAUAAGACUGGGAUAACUUCGGGAAACCGGAGCUAAUACCGGAUAAUAUAUUGAACCGCAUGGUUCAAUAGUGAAAGACGGUUUUGCUGUCACUUAUAGAUGGAUCCGCGCCGCAUUAGCUAGUUGGUAAGGUAACGGCUUACCAAGGUAACGAUGCGUAGCCGACCUGAGAGGGUGAUCGGCCACACUGGAACUGAGACACGGUCCAGACUCCUACGGGAGGCAGCAGUAGGGAAUCUUCCGCAGUGGGCGAAAGCCUGACGGAGCAACGCCGCGUGAGUGAUGAAGGUCUUCGGAUCGUAAAACUCUGUUAUUAGGGAAGAACAAAUGUGUAAGUAACUAUGCACGUCUUGACGGUACCUAAUCAGAAAGCCACGGCUAACUACGUG